rnacentral:rRNA from 1 species
UACGUAGGGUGCAAGCGUUAAUCGGAAUUACUGGGCGUAAAGCGUGCGCAGGCGGUUUUGUAAGUCUGUUGUGAAAUCCCCGGGCUUAACCUGGGAACUGCAUUUGUGACUGGCAAGCUAGAGUAUGGCAGAGGGGGUAGAAUUCCACGUGUAGCAGUGAAAUGCGUAGAGAUGUGGAGGAAUACCGAUGGCGAAGGCAGCCCCCUGGGUCAAGAUUGACGCUCAUGCACGAA